ensembl:snRNA U6 U6 spliceosomal RNA
GUGCUCACUUUGGCAGCACACAUACUAAAAUUAGAACAAUACAGAGAAAAUUACAAUGACCUCUGCACAAGAAAGACAUGCAAAUUUGUGAAGCAUUCCAUAUUUUG